rnacentral:rRNA from 1 species
GUGGGGAAUCUUCCGCAAUGGACGAAAGUCUGACGGAGCAACGCCGCGUGAGUGAAGAAGGUUUUCGGAUCGUAAAGCUCUUUCGUUAGGGACGAACGUGCUCUUUGUGAAUAAUGAGGAGUAAUGACGGUACCUAAAUAAGAAGCCACGGCUAACUACGUGCCAGCAGCCGCGGUAAUACGUAGGUGGCAAGCGUUGUCCGGAAUUAUUGGGCGUAAAGCGCGCGCAGGCGGGAUAUCAAGUCUGUCUUAAAAGUGCGAGGCUCAACCUCGUGAGGGGACAGAAACUGGUAUUCUUGAGUGUCGGAGAGGAAAGUGGAAUUCCAAGUGUAGCGGUGAAAUGCGUAGAGAUUUGGAAGAACACCAGUGGCGAAGGCGACUUUCUGGACGAUGUCUGACGCUGAGGCGCGAAAGCUAGGGGAACGAACGGGAUUAGAAACCCGGGUAGUCC